rnacentral:rRNA from 1 species
UAAGCAAUUAUACGGCGAAACUGCGAAUGGCUCAUUAUAUAAGUUAUCGUCUAUUUGACAGUACCUUACUACUUGGAUAACCGUGGUAAUUCUAGAGCUAAUACAUGCUGAAAAUCCCGACUUCGGAAGGGACGUAUUUAUUAGACGAAAAACCAAUGCCCUCUGGGCUCUUUGGUGAUUCAUGAUAACUGCUCGAAUCGCAAUGGCCUUGCGCCGGCGAUGUCUCAUUCGAAUUUCUUCCCUAUCAACUUUCGAUGUUUGGGUAGUGGCCAAACAUGGUUACAACGGGUAACGGAGGGUUAGGGCUCGACCCCGGAGAAGGAGCCUGAGAAACGGCUACUACAUCCAAGGAAGGCAGCAGGCGCGCAAAUUACCCAAUCCCGACACGGGGAGGUAGUGACAAUAAAUACUGAUACAGGGCUCUUUUGGGUCUUGUAAUUGGAAUGAGUACAAUUUAAAUCCCUUAACGAGGAACAAUUGGAGGGCAAGUCUGGUGCCAGCAGCCGCGGUAAUUCCAGCUUCCAAUAGCGUAUAUUAAAGUUGUUGUGGUUAAAAAGCUCGUAGUUGAACCUUGGGCCUGGCUGGCCGGUCCGCCUCACCGCGUGCACUGGUCCGGCCGGGCCUUUCCCUCUGUGGAACCCCAUGCCCUUCACUGGGUGUGGCGGGGAAACAGGACUUUUACUUUGAAAAAAUUAGAGUGCUCCAGGCAGGCCUAUGCUCGAAUACAUUAGCAUGGAAUAAUGAAAUAGGACGUGCGGUUCUAUUUUGUUGGUUUCUAGGACCGCCGUAAUGAUUAAUAGGGACAGUCGGGGGCAUCAGUAUUCAAUUGUCAGAGGUGAAAUUCUUGGAUUUAUUGAAGACUAACUACUGCGAAAGCAUUUGCCAAGGAUGUUUUCAUUAAUCAGGAACGAAAGUUAGGGGAUCGAAGACGAUCAGAUACCGUCGUAGUCUUAACCAUAAACUAUGCCGACUAGGGAUCGGACGAUGUUAUUUUUUGACUCGUUCGGCACCUUACGAGAAAUCAAAGUGCUUGGGCUCC